rnacentral:lncRNA from 1 species
CACAGACUAUCCAUACCCAUGAGAUUUUCUGGCUUAGAAUCAUUCCAUUGGUCUAUUAAAUCUGUUUUCUUGCUUGAGGCAGUAUCUUUGAGAAGGCGAUUCUAUUUUAGUCCUCAUACAUUAUACAUGAUAAGUAUAAAAGGAAUUCAUUUUUUUCUGAUAGAAAAGAGACUUUUACCUUUAGAAACGAGAAUCAUAACUUAAGUUGUGGUAAAAAACAAAAACUCAACUUGUCUUAUUUAAAUGCUUUUGGGUUUAAUUGUGGAAGACAGUGUGGCGAUUCCCCAAGGAUCUAGAACUAGAAAUACCAUUUGACCCAGUCAUCCCAUUACUGGGUAUAUACCCAAAGGAAUAUAAAUCAUGCUGCUAUAAAGACACAUGCACACGUAUGUUUAUUGCGGCACUAUUCACAAUAGCAAAGACUUGGAACCAACCCAAAUGUCCAACAAUGAUAGACUGGAUUAAGAAAAUGUGGCACAUAUACACCAUGGAAUACUAUGCAGCCAUAAAAAUGAUGAGUUCAUGUCCUUUGUAGGGACAUGAAUGAAGCUGGAAACCAUCAUUCUCAGCAAACUAUUGCAAGGACAGAAAACGAAACACUGCAUGUUCUCACUCAUAGGUGGGAAUUGAACAAUGAGAACACUUGGACACAGGAAGGGGAACAUCACACACCAGGGCCUGUUGUGGGGUGGGGGGAGGGGGGAGGGAUAGCAUUAGGAGAUAGACCUAAUAUAAAUGACAAGUUAAGGGGUGCAGCACACCAACAUGACACAUGUAUACAUAUGUAACAAACCUGUACGUUGUGCACAUGUACCCUAGAACUUAAAGUAUAAAUAAUAAAAAUAAAAUAAAAUAAAUGCUUUUGGGUUUAAGUGAAUGAAGUCAUGAAGAAAGUGAGUAAAAAUCUACUGCUAGCACCUAGCAGUAAUUCAACUUUGUGAAUUUAAGAAAAGCACCCUCUUCGGGCAAAUUGACAAAAGGUGACCCUACUGGACAUGACAAUGGACAUAGGCAACUCUCAGAUGAAUUAGAAAAGAGUGCCCCUUCCUAUGAGCUGCCAGAGCUAGAGACCUGGCCCCAGGAGUGGAGGCAGAAUUCAGCCCCACCCCUUCCUUCCUCCUCAAACUCAUUAUCUCAUGGCAGGGGCCCAAAUAACACAUUUUAUCCCCCUGUGCAAAACAAAGUCUAUUUCUUAGAAUUCAGCCUUCUUAGAAGGUCAAUAAUGGGAAAUGCAGGGCUGUGUAAAUAAUUACAUCUUCUUCCUACCAUAACAUCAUAACUAGCACAAUUAUAAAAGACAGAUAGGAAAAUAAUAAUAGUCAUGAAAAUGAUAAUAAUGUACUUUGAAGAGGAGGAACAGGUAAGGAAUGGCAUCAAAGGCUGGAGGCUGAGUAAACUUCAUAAGGAAAAGUUCUUGGCUGAUGGCCACCCAGCUUCAAUAUUCUGCCAGGGUGCCACUUGCAUAAUUUAAGAGAACUGAUCCUUUUCCCUCACCUCUAUUGCCACUUGUCCACACAUUUAUAAUAAUAGAUUACACCUGGGCAGAGCUUGUAUUGUACAGUGCCAAGUACUGUAUAUAUAUACUCACAUCAACUGUGAAGCUGCUCUCUCCACUUUACAGACAAGGAAAGUGAGACAGAGAGAGGUUAAAUAAACAGCCCAAGAUUGUAGCUGAUGUAUUAAUCCACAGCUAAAUGGGUCUCCUUAAAGAUCUGGAAAGCUGCUGACAAGAAGCACCGUCAAAGAUGAGGUCAAAAAGGAAACUCCUUUUCAGUGAUCCAGUACAGGACAUUCUUUUUAGGCAUGGAACCCUGGGAUCUGUCAUAAGUUAUGAAACUUUGAACAAACCAUUCCACUUCCACUUCCUCAUCUUUGAAAGGAAGGCAUUGGAUGGCAUGUUCACUUCCAGCUCUAAAAUGCUGUUCCUCUAAUUUACAUGCAAAAUAGCAUGUAGACAGCCUUUAGGGCCAUCUGAAUGUAAAUACCACAUCUACCUUUUUGAAGCCAUGGGGCCUAGCUAAAACUCAAUUUACUCAUCUAUAAAAUGAGAAUAAUAAUAAUAUCUACCCCUUAGGGUUAUUGAGAAUAUUAAAUAAGAGAAUAAAUGUUAAAGCCUUUAGCAUAUCAUUUAGCUUUGGCUAUGUGACUAGUACAUAGUAAGUGUUCAAGAAAUUUUCCUUUAUCACUAUCAUCAUCAUCAUCAUCACCCUGUGUGUAGGUGCUACUUGCGAAGGUGCUCCAAUUUUAAUUCCCUGCAGAUGCAAUAAAGAGUUGGCAAAUUCCCAGCUGGGCGCGGUGGC